GCUCAUCUAGCUGCUUUCUGGAAAGGCUGUGGCAAGAUUCAGCUCUCAUUCCAUCAGAUAUGCUGGCUGCUGUUGGUUUGGAGGAAGUUCUACACCGAGACUAGACUGAUGGAUGGAAUUUAAUCACUCCUAAAGAGGAAAGAAUCUAUGGUGCCACCUAGAGAACAGGAUUCUUGCUAUUCAAAGUGGUGGGGGGUGCCAGGGUUCACACCACGCCCUGGGUGCUCCCUGCCGAGCCCAGAGGCACAAAGAUAACAGAAUAUUAAACGAGGAAAGACUGGACACCGCAACUUCCCCACUGGUUCUGAUUGGAAGACUAAGGGAGAGGUCGCAGAAGAUCAAUACAACAAAGUUCUCUUCCCUGAACCUGGGCAAAGAGUUCAACGCAUUCUUCCCGAGGUCAUGAGGAGCUCAUCUAGCUGCUUUCUGGAAAGGCUGUGGCAAGAUUCAGCUCUCAUUCCAUCAGAUAUGCUGGCUGCUGUUGGUUUGGAGGAAGUUCUACACCGAGACUAGACUGAUGGAUGGAAUUUAAUCACUCCUAAAGAGGAAAGAAUCUAUGGUGCCACCUAGAGAACAGGAUUCUUGCUAUUCAAAGUGGUGGGGGGUGCCAGGGUUCACACCACGCCCUGGGUGCUCCCUGCCGAGCCCAGAGGCACAAAGAUAACAGAAUAUUAAACGAGGAAAGACUGGACACCGCAACUUCCCCACUGGUUCUGAUUGGAAGACUAAGGGAGAGGUCGCAGAAGGUAAA
rnacentral:lncRNA from 1 species